rnacentral:tRNA from 1 species
GGAAAAAUAAGCUAAAUUUAAGCUCAUAGGUUCAUACCCUAUUUAUGGAGGUUACUCCUUUUUCUA